AUGAACGCUGGCGGCGUGCCUAAUACAUGCAAGUCGAACGAGUUCUGAUUAUUGAAAGGUGCUUGCAUCUUGAUUUUAAUUUUGAACGAGUGGCGGACGGGUGAGUAACACGUGGGUAACCUGCCCUUAAGUGGGGGAUAACAUUUGGAAACAGAUGCUAAUACCGCAUAAAUCCAAGAACCGCAUGGUUCUUGGCUGAAAGAUGGCGUAAGCUAUCGCUUUUGGAUGGACCCGCGGCGUAUUAGCUAGUUGGUGAGGUAACGGCUCACCAAGGCAAUGAUACGUAGCCGAACUGAGAGGUUGAUCGGCCACAUUGGGACUGAGACACGGCCCAAACUCCUACGGGAGGCAGCAGUAGGGAAUCUUCCACAAUGGACGCAAGUCUGAUGGAGCAACGCCGCGUGAGUGAAGAAGGCUUUCGGGUCGUAAAACUCUGUUGUUGGAGAAGAAUGGUCGGCAGAGUAACUGUUGUCGGCGUGACGGUAUCCAACCAGAAAGCCACGGCUAACUACGUGCCAGCAGCCGCGGUAAUACGUAGGUGGCAAGCGUUAUCCGGAUUUAUUGGGCGUAAAGCGAGCGCAGGCGGUUUUUUAAGUCUGAUGUGAAAGCCCUCGGCUUAACCGAGGAAGUGCAUCGGAAACUGGGAAACUUGAGUGCAGAAGAGGACAGUGGAACUCCAUGUGUAGCGGUGAAAUGCGUAGAUAUAUGGAAGAACACCAGUGGCGAAGGCGGCUGUCUGGUCUGUAACUGACGCUGAGGCUCGAAAGCAUGGGUAGCGAACAGGAUUAGAUACCCUGGUAGUCCAUGCCGUAAACGAUGAAUGCUAGGUGUUGGAGGGUUUCCGCCCUUCAGUGCCGCAGCUAACGCAUUAAGCAUUCCGCCUGGGGAGUACGACCGCAAGGUUGAAACUCAAAGGAAUUGACGGGGGCCCGCACAAGCGGUGGAGCAUGUGGUUUAAUUCGAAGCAACGCGAAGAACCUUACCAGGUCUUGACAUCUUUUGAUCACCUGAGAGAUCAGGUUUCCCCUUCGGGGGCAAAAUGACAGGUGGUGCAUGGUUGUCGUCAGCUCGUGUCGUGAGAUGUUGGGUUAAGUCCCGCAACGAGCGCAACCCUUAUGACUAGUUGCCAGCAUUUAGUUGGGCACUCUAGUAAGACUGCCGGUGACAAACCGGAGGAAGGUGGGGAUGACGUCAAAUCAUCAUGCCCCUUAUGACCUGGGCUACACACGUGCUACAAUGGAUGGUACAACAAGUUGCGAGACCGCGAGGUCAAGCUAAUCUCUUAAAGCCAUUCUCAGUUCGGACUGUAGGCUGCAACUCGCCUACACGAAGUCGGAAUCGCUAGUAAUCGCGGAUCAGCACGCCGCGGUGAAUACGUUCCCGGGCCUUGUACACACCGCCCGUCACACCAUGAGAGUUUGUAACACCCGAAGCCGGUGGCGUAACCCUUUUAGGGAGCGAGCCGUCUAAGGUGGGACAAAUGAUUAGGGUGAAG
rnacentral:rRNA from 1 species